rnacentral:lncRNA from 1 species
UUUUUUUUUCUAAAUGGAUUUACAUGAUUUCUCCCAAAAUCUUUAAUUUAAUAACUACACUUGUGUAGGAUGGAGAGUAUCACACGUUCAAGUGGUGGGAUGCAGCAGUAAUAGAAUAGUUGAGAAAUGUCUAGGAAUCAAUUGCCGCCACCGAAAGCCUAAUAGAUGCUCUACAGCGAACCGAUAACAGGAACCACCGG